rnacentral:rRNA from 1 species
UACAGAGGUCUCAAGCGUUGUUCGGAUUCAUUGGGCGUAAAGGGUGUGUAGGUGGCGCCGUAAGUCGGGUGUGAAAUCUCGGAGCUUAACUCCGAAACUGCAUUCGAUACUGCGGUGCUUGAGGACUGGAGAGGAGACUGGAAUUCAUGGUGUAGCAGUGAAAUGCGUAGAGAUCAUGAGGAAGACCAGUGGCGAAGGCGGGU